rnacentral:lncRNA from 1 species
GUUCAGAAGUGUAGCAAGGGAAGGUAGAAGUUGCAAGAAUGAUUGGCAGUUCUUAAGAUUUAGAAUCUUUCAUGAGCUGGUUGGGACAGAGUUCCAAGGAGCAGUUUCCAACUGACUCAGUCUGGAUCUGAAAGGGAAGAAGGAAGGUAUGUAGCUGAGACUCCCUGAACAAACCACCUAUCAAGCAACUGGACAUUGAGGAUCAACUGUCUGAGGGAUCAAGACCCACAAUGUUGCAAAACUUUCUGAGUGAGAUUCAAAAGAGCUUAAGAUUUUGAAAUAGAAGGAAGAGAUAAUUAGCUAUCUGUUUUCAAGUUCUAUGAUCAGUAGAUCUCUGAGGAUUGAAAUAGAAACAACCAGGCAGAAGAGGAAUGAAUGAAAGUAGAGGAUACAUUGAAAACAGCAAAAAAAAAAAUAGCAGUUGACAUCAGCUGGUAAGUGUCUGAAGCUUGAUUUGAACUGAGAUCUUCAUGAGUCCAGGUCCAGUGCUCUACC